rnacentral:rRNA from 1 species
UACGUAGGUGGCAAGCGUUGUCCGGAUUUACUGGGCGUAAAGAGCGCGCAGGCGGUCGUUCAAGUCGCGUGUGAAAGCCCCCGGCUCAACUGGGGAGGGUCACGCGAUACUGAUCGACUCGAAGGCAGGAGAGGGUAGUGGAAUUCCCGGUGUAGUGGUGAAAUGCGUAGAUAUCGGGAGGAACACCAGUGGCGAAGGCGACUACCUGGCCUGUUUCUUGACGCUGAGGCGCGAAAGCUAGGGAAGCAAACGGG